rnacentral:rRNA from 1 species
UACGUAGGGUCCGAGCGUUGUCCGGAACUACUGGGCGUAAAGAGCUCGUAGGUGGUUUGUCGCGUUGUUCGUGAAAACUCACAGCUCAACUGUGGGCGUGCGGGCGAUACGGGCAGACUGGAGUACUGCAGGGGAGACUGGAAUUCCUGGUGUAGCGGUGGAAUGCGCAGAUAUCAGGAGGAACACCGGUGGCGAAGGCGGCGACCUGGGUGGAUACUGACGCUGAGGUGCGAAAGCGUGGGGAGCAAACAGG